rnacentral:rRNA from 1 species
CUAUACAUGCAGUCGAGCGGANAGAUGGGAGCUUGCUCCCUGAUGUUAGCGGCGGACGGGUGAGUAACACGUGGGUAACCUGCCUGUAAGACUGGGAUAACUCCGGGAAACCGGGGCUAAUACCGGAUGGUUGUUUGAACCGCAUGGUUCAAACAUAAAAGGUGGCUUCGGCUACCACUUACAGAUGGACCCGCGGCGCAUUAGCUAGUUGGUGAGGUAACGGCUCACCAAGGCAACGAUGCGUAGCCGACCUGAGAGGGUGAUCGGCCACACUGGGACUGAGACACGGCCCAGACUCCUACGGGAGGCAGCAGUAGGGAAUCUUCCGCAAUGGACGAAAGUCUGACGGAGCAACGCCGCGUGAGUGAUGAAGGUUUUCGGAUCGUAAAGCUCUGUUGUUAGGGAAGAACAAGUACCGUUCGAAUAGGGCGGUACCUUGACGGUACCUAACCAGAAAGCCACGGCUAACUACGUGCCAGCAGCCGCGGUAAUACGUAGGUGGCAAGCGUUGUCCGGAAUUAUUGGGCGUAAAGGGCUCGCAGGCGGUUUCUUAAGUCUGAUGUGAAAGCCCCCGGCUCAACCGGGGAGGGUCAUUGGAAACUGGGGAACUUGAGUGCAGAAGAGGAGAGUGGAAUUCCACGUGUAGCGGUGAAAUGCGUAGAGAUGUGGAGGAACACCAGUGGCGAAGGCGACUCUCUGGUCUGUAACUGACGCUGAGGAGCGAAAGCGUGGGG